GUCGAACGAGAAAGCCCUUCGGGGUGAGUAGAGUGGCGAACGGGUGAGUACACGUGGGCAACCUGCCCCUCGCAGGGGGACAACCGGAGGAAACUCCGGCUAAUACCCCGUAAGCUUUCAGGGUCGCAUGGCCCUGUAAGGAAAGGUAGCUUCGGCCAUCCGGCGAGGGAUGGGCCCGCGGUGCAUUAGCUAGUUGGUGGGGUAACGGCCCACCAAGGCGACGAUGCGUAGCUGGUCUGAGAGGAUGAUCAGCCACACUGGGACUGAGACACGGCCCAGACUCCUACGGGAGGCAGCAGCCAGGAAUCUUGGGCAAUGGGCGAAAGCCUGACCCAGCAACACCGUGUGGGCGAUGAAGGCCUUCGGGUCGUAAAGCCCUGUUGAUAGGGACGAAGGGCGAAGGGUUAAUAGCCCCUAGCCUGACGGUACCUUUCGAGGAAGCCCCGGCUAACUACGUGCCAGCAGCCGCGGUAAUACGUAGGGGGCGAGCGUUGUCCGGAUUUACUGGGCGUAAAGCGCGUGUAGGCGGCGGCUUAAGUCGGGUGUGAAAGCCCGGGGCUCAACCCCGGGAUGCCGCCCGAGACUGGGUCGCUUGAGGUCGGAAGAGGGGAGUGGAAUUCCAGGUGUAGCGGUGAAAUGCGUAGAGAUCUGGAGGAACACCCGUGGCGAAGGCGGCUCCCUGGUCCGAUUCUGACGCUGAGACGCGAAAGCGCGGGGAGCGAACGGGAUUAGAUACCCCGGUAGUCCGCGCCGUAAACGAUGGUCACUAGGUGUGCGUGGUAUCGACCCCACGCGUGCCGGCGCUAACGCAUUAAGUGACCCGCCUGGGGAAUACGGCCGCAAGGUUGAAACUCAAAGGAAUUGACGGGGGCCCGCACAAGCGGUGGAGCAUGGGGAUUAAUUCGUCACUAACCGAAGAACCUUACCCAGGCUUGACAUCCGUCGUAAGUCCGGGAAACCGGCACCCCUUCCUCGCAAGAGGGAGCGGCGAGACAGGUGUUGCAUGGCUGUCGUCAGCUCGUGUCGUGAGAUGUUGGGUUAAGUCCCGCAACGAGCGCAACCCUCACGGCCUGUUGCCAGCGUUAAGUCGGGCACUCUGGCCGAACUGCCCGGGUAACCGGGAGGAAGGUGGGGAUGACGUCAAGUCGGCAUGGCCCUUACGCCUGGGGCUUCACCCAUGCUACAAUGGGCGCGACAGAGGGAUGCAAGCCCGCGAGGGGGAGCCAAUCCCACAAACGCGCUCUCAGUUCGGAUUGCAGGCUGCAACUCGCCUGCAUGAAGUCGGAAUCGCUAUAACCGCCGGUCAGCUAAACGGCGGUGAUACAUUCCCGGGCAUUUACACACCGCCCGUAAGGGCG
rnacentral:rRNA from 1 species